ensembl:lncRNA
AUCCCAACUGCUCAUGAUGAAAUAGGAAAAGAGAAAAAAUUUUGAAACUUUUGUGCUUAUGCAAAUAUAUAAUGAAUAUUUUUUUCAUACUUAGGAAGGGAAGACAAGAAAGCUUAUGCAGCAUGUGUUCUGGACUUAUUUCAACCAUCCAGGCAUCAAGCAACAGAAGAAAGAAGAUAAAGGUAUAUGCUGCUGUGGCUGGUGGCAUGAUGGGAACAGCAGGAGGAAGUUGAUGGAUGCCAGCUUGGAAGAGGAGUUGGAGCAAAUUCUUCAUAAGACUCAUCAUUUACAGAAGCUUCCUUGGCAUUGGAGAAAUUAUUUCAGGAAGAUGCUGCCUGUCCUGCAGAUGCCCACAAUUUCAUGUGUGAUGACGGCUCACGCGGACCAGCCCCACCAAAACAAUUACUUCCAAUUUACUUUAAAAAGGGGUUUGUCGUUCUAUCAACCAUCCCCAAUCACUGCCACCCUCUGAUUUUCCAACUUUAGAAAAUCACAGAUAUCUUCUGAUUUUCAUCAGCCUUCAGUUCCAAAAAAGAAUAUGCAGGGGCAUUUUAAGAUUUUCCUUUUAUUCACCAUUGUACCUUCAAUACUGUUACAUGCAUAACACUAACUACAGUAAACACUUGAUAAAACCUAAGACAGUAAAGUGGCUUUUCAUGGAGUCUGGGACUGGAGACUGCUGGGCCAGUCUGAACUAGAUUCUUAAAAUAGGCCCUUUCCUUGCUGUGUGCCUCAAGGGCACUGCUUUAACCAUUGUUUUAGUUGGUUUUUUUUUUUUCACUUUUUAUGUAUUUCUGGAUACAGGUGUUCAAGUAUUGCAUCCUUUUGCACGUGGUAGGAGACCUGUUGCUGAUUUUACCAGUGUUGUCUGGGUUUCGAAAGUCGGCUCUGAAUGUCUGCCCUCUAUUCCCUCCAACUGCCGGCAGUCAGAAGUCGUAAUUUAUCAAACUGCCAGAAUCUGUUUCUUAUUAGCGAACUUUCCCUUUAACACUUUAAAUCUGGGCUCAUCGUUCAGCUUAUUGCAUGAUGCCAGAAUCUGAUUAUGCUUCAGCUACCAUCUAAAGCCUUCCCUGUUGCCAGGUCCAUGAAUGCUUUCUAUUAGCCUUUCUCACCCCAGAAAAGCUCUUCAUAGUGUAAUGAAAAUUGUAAUGUAAUUGUAAUGAAAACUAUCACAGUUCAGGCGCACAAAAAUGGAGUUGGGCAGCCACCGAGGAUCUGGUCUUAGACAUGUCCCUGCACCACAAGAACUUGAAUUUUCUGUGAAUGUAUCAAACCGAGGACAUCACCAGCCGUAUCUGGAACAACAGUUGUUAGCAACAACUUUGUGGUCUCAAGUUUACCUCUUGUUACUGUGCAACCAUUUCAGACCCCAACAAAUCCUUGCUUAUCAAGCACCUCUACUUCUUGCCAGCUCCAAUUGUAAUUCUUGACAAGUAAGUUCCAUAACUGUGGUUUGCAGUUUUUGCCUUUAUAAGCUUCCUCCAGUUAUGUAGUCUAGAGGAACACAAUUCAAGUGCUUCUUGAUUCUGUGUUUCCCAGACUACAGUCCUAACAAACCCCAGAUAAACGCCUCCUUAUUUCAAUUAGGUCUCUGUUUCUGAAAUUUUGAUUAACACUAUCAUGGCUUUGAACUUUGGUUAUCUCCUCUGCAUGCUGCAUGCUGCCUCAGUUUGAAUCUUCUAACAACACAAACUCGUACCCUUCAAUGUGGAAAGUCAGAGUUUCAAAUAAAAGUCUUAUGAUUAAUCA